rnacentral:lncRNA from 1 species
AUCAAUUCAUAUUACAGAUAUAAUCAUGGCUUUGAAUUAACCUCUAGCCAAAAUCAAUUUAUUUACACAUUAUUAAAAAUAGAAAUAAAAGAGAAGUUUGGAAAAAUUAAACCGAAAGAUAAAGGAGUUUUGCUCUGUCCUUUCCGAGGUGUGCUGCGCAGGCAGCUUUCUCUCCGUGCCGAGGCUCUCCUCUGCCUCUCUCUGCAAAGCCCUGCUAUAUUUCUAUUCUUUUUCGCCCAAAACAGCCUUUGACUUCUCUCCUUCUGACUUCAUGUCUUCUCUUUUUUUAUUUUCUUUUUCUCCCCGAUGCUGCUCUCUCUGCACGUCCUCACCUCUGACUUCUUCUCGCUGACCCCGUGCUGCCAAAGGCAGCUCCCUCUCUCGUCAGUCACCUCUCCACUCUCACGCUGCCCAAAAGGGCAGCUCCCUGUGCUCACCCUGUCCCUUGCGUCUCUGCGAGCUGCCCAAAGGGCAGCUCCCCCCUCUCCCGCUCUCCAGACCCCCAGCUGCCAAAGCAGCUCCCUCUCUCGUCAUAUGUUGUAAUAUAUUAUAUAUGAAUGGUAGUGCUUUGCCUAUAAACCAAAUGAUGAAAAGCAGGAGCACCGAAAACUCCUAGUGGAAAGGCAUCUUUUUAGCUGGACAUCUUCAUUUCCAUUCCUGCUGUCCAAUUCUUUCCCUGCGUCAGUCCCGCACUUCCUCACCUCUUAUUCUUUUCUUUUCUUUUGUUUUUGCCAUCAUGCACUCCUUCCUUUUCUUCUUUAUUUUCUCCUUCUUUGCCGUUCCUUUCUUCUUCUACAAAACAUGAAUCAUGAUGAUGUUUCAAACAUCAUCAUGACUUAUCAUUAUUAUUAUUUUUAUUUUUUAAUUUAAUUUAAAAGCUGAUCUACACAGACAGUUUUGACAAAUUUAUUACAUAAAAUUUCACUUGUUCUAUUUUUAUUUUCUUUGCAUAACAAAUCCUAUAAACACAAAAAUAACGUAAAUAGCUCAAAAAUAUAAGGAACUAACUAAGAAAAGACGAGUGAAUUCGAAGUAAAAAUAUAUAUAAAUAUGAUUCGAUCAAAUACCCCCAUACUUAGCUUUUGCUAGUCCUCGAGCAAAACAAAGAAAACAUGAAAAAGUACUAACAUGAAAAACAUUAGUUUCCCCCUAUGUGACCUUCAUAGAAUUUCAUUUGAGAACACAAAUCAUCAAGAACCAUAGCUAGCACCAAACAAGUUAAAUCAAGUUCAUCUUCCUUAUUCAAAUAUUAGCAGUAAUCUUUGAAUCAUCCUUGAAGGGUAGUGUGUGAGAUAGCCAUGCUAAUGCAAUUUCAAAUUUUUAUUUUUAAAAUCAUCAUAUGCAAACUAGUAACCUUCUCACGGGAUAAACACUCAAUCACAUAUGUGUUUAGUUUUAAUGUGUUUCGCUCAAAGAAUCAAAUGUGAAAUUUCUACCAUAAGCUUGCAUAAAGAUCACUUCUCCACAGUCAUAAUUGCAAAACUUAAAUCAAGAGGACUUUUAUUGGAUGUAAUGAGGCUUAGGGAGAGGGUUAUUGAAACGAAAGAAUAGGAAAACACAAGUUCCAAGCUACAUUGCAAGCAAUUCUUUUCUUUAGAUUUAUAAAAACUCAAGCUCUCCAACGAUUCUUCUGAAACCUCCAACCACACCCUUAAACUGAAACUUUAAAAACUUUUUAUUUUCUUUGUAUACAAUCCUUCUUUUUCUUUUCUUUUUUUUUUUUUUUUUUUUUUUUUUUUUUUUUUUUUUAAAUACAAACAUGAAAUACCCCCACACUUAUUCUUUUGCCAAACACCUUCAAAGUACUUCACAAACGUUUCUCAUAAGACAAUCUCGCAUUGCUCGCUUGGAAAGGGUAAUGAAAAAUGUUUCAGGUAUAAGGGUAGACAUAUCUGGUGAUAAGAAAUAAAAGGUUCAACAUACACAGCUCAAAUUGGCAAACUAAUGAUAUCAUUUUUCUUUGGGAAACAUGGUUAUUUGGGCCAUAGUGGUAAACCUAAUGCCUCUAUCAUUUCCAAGUUCAUGCAAUCAAUGACAAACAAUUCGAAAGAUCGUUACGCAAGUUCUAGAGAUGUAUAUCACAUAAGUUCAUCACACAUAAAAAAAUAGGAGUGUAUGAAAAAUGCACACACUUUCAAUAGGCUCAAAAACUCACAUAGGAUGUAUAUGGUCACUAAAUUCACAUAUGAAGCUUUAAGUCAUACUUUAGUUUCACAUUAACAAGGCUAUGUGCAUUUGGUUUUUCAAAGAUGAUCAAACAUGUACAAAACUAACAAGAGAAUAAGGAAUUUCACAAAACACAUGUUAACUAAGUUCUUGAUGAUCAUGGUUCGAAUUUGAUCCAAUUAUAUCAUUGAGUCGGGAAACUAACAAAAAUCUAAUUCAAAACAAUAAGGGGAACAAGACAAUUUUUUUGGAUUUUUUUAAAUUUUCCGAUUUUUUUUUUUUUUUUAGAGAAAACAAAACUAAAAAAAUAAAAAGCAACAACACAGAAACAAAUGAAACCAGUUCGAAGUUGAAGGUACAAAAAAUUUCAAUUUGGUCAUUUUUACCCUUUACCCCCACACUUAAACUGGACAUUGUCCCCAAUGUCAUAAAACACUAUAAUGCAAAUAAAAAUAUAAAAUAAAAUAAAUAAAUAAUAAGAAACAAAAUAACGCAAUUGGACUGAAAACUUCCCUAAUUUGCAGUAAAAUCAAGCGAUGACCCCCAAGCUAAAAUUCUACAAUCAGCUUCAAGGGUGGAAAGAACCAAAAGUUCCUGCAAAGAAAAGAAAUAAUUCAGUUAAGUAACGCAAGAAAAUUAAUUAAAAAAAAAAAAAAAUUGCAAACGAAAAAUUGAAAAUUACGAUAAAAGAUAUGAAUAAAACUAAUAAGUAAUCAUUGGUCGUGCUUGUUGACUUUCCACAGCGUUCCUCUUGAACAGGGUGACACUUAGCUUUUUACUUGCAAGUGAUGAUUUGAUGAUAUUGUACGGCGAAGCUUUGCUCUUUGGUUAUGUUGCAGUUCCUUAUUUGUUCUCCAAGCAGAUGUGGCAGCUUCUCUAGUUCCUCAGUUCGGACUCCUUCCGCUGGGAUGAUUGUGCAAGCUGCAUUCUUCUCUGCUUGUUUCUUCUGCACAACGGGCAGGCACGAGGGAAAGGUGUUGGUCCUUAUUUCUUUCUUCAAUCUUUCCAAGUGCCCACCUCUUGCUUUCUUUCUCCUUGUCCCUAGCUGAAUUGUCUCCACAUGCUUCGAGGUAUCAUUUUCACUUCCCUUACUGUCCCCCAGGUAGAUGUGGUAGACGAAGAGAAAGCAUAAAAUGAUGAAGAUGAGUACUCGAGAGCAAGGCUAGGUAAGCAAUCAGGAAGGGGUUCCAGGCAGUUGGCUCCAGAUCGGAAGAUUGAUACCAAAUGCUGGCUGAUUGCUCUCUUUCUCCUUGUCGGAAAACAAAGACAAGGAGAAGGACAUGGAGAAAGCAUGAUAUGAGAUACUCUUGCUUUCAACCUUUAUGAUAUGAAAUACUUUUGCUUUGAAUGGGUUGUUCGCAGGAGUAUCCCAAGGAAUGAGGAACACAGAGUGACUCGAGAGGAUUCUUUGGGAAUGCAUUUUCGGAGAUGAAGAGGUGUUGAGAGAGGGUGUGCUGAGAGAGUGUGCUUUUGCUGUGGAAGGCGAAGGUAGAAACUUAUAGGACUUGUCUUCACAACCGGAACUGUUCUCUCACUUAGUGUCGGCAGCCGGUGGUGGAUGGGUGAAGAAUAAAAUUACGCGCUUUCUGACAAAGCUGCCCGUAAUUUCCGCAAAGCUGAUUCCUCAUUGAUAUCUGUAAUCGGCGCUUCGAGCUCUGAGCAUCGUCGAUUGUAGAGGUAGCAUGUGACACGUGCGGAUAAAUCUGGAAAAAGAAGAUUUUCCCGUGGGUUGAAGCCCAGCUUUUGAGAAAGCUAGCGUGUCUUUGACUGUUGAAUUUCCCUCUUCGAUUUCUGAAUUGGUGCUCUUCGACAAAUUGCCCGAGAUUUCCGCAAAGCAAUUUGCGUGUGACAAGUGACGACACGUCUGGACAAAUUGAUCUUUUGAAAUCCGGGGUUCGGCUCGUGGUUUCUGAGCAAGCCCAGCCUUUAAGAAAUGAAACGCCUCUUUUGAGAAAAGAAUCCGGCUUUUGAGAAAGGAAACUCCUCUUUUGAGAAAAGAAUCAGACGUUUGAGAACGUUUGAGAACGGAGCCCCGACUCUUCGAUUUGCGAGAGGACGCUUCUCUGAGGAGCGCCUCUUGAUGAUUUCUUCCUUUUUAUAGAGACGUUAAGCUUGUUCCACAACACACUUGAGUACCCUCCUGUAAACACUCCCUUCUUGCACUUGUUUAAUCUUGAUCAUUUCCGACUCUCUUCUUUCUUUACCACCUCUGAAAAAUGUCUGGCCCUUCUGAUCGUCGUUUUGACUUGAACAUUGUGUGAAGAGGCAGCUCCGCCUUCACCAGACAACAUAUGGCGGCCAUCCUUCAUAUCCCCUACCGGUCCCCUUACCGUGGGGGAUUCGAUGAUGAAAAAUGACAUGACCGCUGCGGUGGUGGCCCGAAACCUUGUCACUCCCAGAGAUAACAGACUGCUCGCAAGGCGGUCUGAUGAAUUGGCGGUCAAGGAGUCUCUGGCUCUCAGUGUGCAGUGUGCGGGUUCCGUAUCCAACAUGGCCCAACGCCUAUAUGCCCGAACCCGUCACGUUGAAUCCUUGGUGGCUGAAAUACAGAGUCUCAAGCAAGAGAUUAAAGGGCUCAAGUAUGAGAAUAAGGAAUUGCACAAGCUCGCACACAGCUAUGCCACCAGCAGCAUGAAGAGGAAGAUUGACCAGAUGCAGGACACCGAUGGUCAAAUUUUACUUGAUCAUCGGAGGUUUGUGGGUUUGUUCCAACCGCAUCUGCCUUCGUCUUCUGGGGCGGCACCGCGUAGUGAAGCUCCAACUGAUCAACCUCUGCUGCCUCCUCCUUCUGUGGCCCCCCCGACUGCUGAAGCCCCGCCUACUACCGAAGCACCACCCGACCAAUGAAUACUAUUAGUUUACAUUAUUGUAAAAUAUUUGUACUUUUUUUUUUUUUUUUUUUUUUAUCAUUAAUUUUAAAUUUUAUCUUUUUUUUUUUUUUUUUUAUAUAUAUGUAAAUUAAAGUAGAAAGACUUUGGUUAACCUUCCCCCACACUUAAACUAAAUAAUACAAACUCACAGAAAUCAACCAAAUAACACAACUAACUAAACAAAACAAAAUGAAAGCAGUAAAGAUAAGGGUGUAAAAAUGCAAAUCUGAUUGGGUUAGCGAUUCCAAAGUCUCCAUUCGUUGAAUGCUUGGGUUGCCUCCCAAGAAGCGCUUGAUUUAACGUCUUUAGCCGGACGCAUCUUUCCUUUAAAUUUCCCUCGGCUCCAUUUGAACCUAAAAUCAAAGAAAGAAAAAUAAAUCAAAUAUCAAAAGUAAAAUACACAAACACCAAUAUAAACAUAAACAAAAACAAAAAUAAAAGGAUUAGCAAAGUUACUAAUCCCCGGCAACGGCGCCAAAAUUUGAUGCGUGAAUUUCUUGACACACAAAUUAAACCCUCUUUUUGACAAUUGUAGUAUAGAUGUAAGUAGGGUAUCGUUCUAGGCCGGGGAUUAGGAGGGAUUGCUAAUCUAUUCUAAAUUAAUUUAAAAAUAUUAAAUAAGACUCAAGGACACAAAACUAGGCUAAAAACUCUAAUAACUCGAAACACACUUAGGAUAACUCAAAAUAAUGAAAACAAUCAAAUUAGACACUAGGAACUGCAAUGGAUGGAAAUUAAAUUAAAAGACUAACAAUAAAGAAAACUAAAUAAAUAAUAUAAUUUAAUAAUGGAUGGGUGUUUGGUUUUGAUGAAAAGUAAAUUAAACUUAAUUAAAUUACAGAAUUGACAAAAACAUGAAAUUAAGGUAAAAUGAUAAAUGACGGACUAGCUAGAGGGUUCUUCUCCACACAUGUUAUACUUGCAUACAAAAUGAUUUCCAGUUGUUCUUUUAAUAAAUUGUGAAUUUCAAUACUCCAGAUUAACCGUGAACAGCACUUUUUUAAUCUUCAAGUUUUCCUUAAGUUAUUGAAUUGGACGGGAAAACGCAUACAACAAUUCAAAACAUUCUUCAAAAGUCCCCUACGUGAAAAGCACAAUAGAGAUACAAUCAAAGAUCAUAAAACUUUGUGAAAACUAUAAGCAUUGACGAGGCAUUCGUAACUAUGAAAAACAUGAUACUCUUGCCAAGAAUUUACUUAACGUGAUUGUGACUAGCAACCUUUACUACUUGUGAAAAUAAGUUCAUAACGAUUAGGUGAAAUUCACUUAUAUUCUAGCAUCAAAUUCAUGCAUGUAAAUUAAGCGUGCACUCUCAACCAACAUACACAAAUCAGUUUUUAUACGAACGGAUAAGUAAAUUGAAAUCACAACUUAUGAAAUCACAACCGAAGGUAAUCAAUUCAUAUUACAGAUAUAAUCAUGGCUUUGAAUUAACCUCUAGCCAAAAUCAAUUUAUUUACACAUUAUUAAAAAUAGAAAUAAAAGAGAAGUUUGGAAAAAUUAAACCGAAAGAUAAAGGAGUUUUGCUCUGUCCUUUCCGAGGUGUGCUGCGCAGGCAGCUUUCUCUCCGUGCCGAGGCUCUCCUCUGCCUCUCUCUGCAAAGCCCUGCUAUAUUUCUAUUCUUUUUUUCGCCCAAAACAGCCUUUGACUUCUCUCCUUCUGACUUCAUGUCUUCUCUUUUUUUAUUUUCUUUUUCUCCCCGAUGCUGCUCUCUCUGCACGUCCUCACCUCUGACUUCUUCUCGCUGACCCCGUGCUGCCAAAGGCAGCUCCCUCUCUCGUCAGUCACCUCUCCACUCUCACGCUGCCCAAAAGGGCAGCUCCCUGUGCUCACCCUGUCCCUUGCGUCUCUGCGAGCUGCCCAAAGGGCAGCUCCCCCCUCUCCCGCUCUCCAGACCCCCAGCUGCCA